rnacentral:rRNA from 1 species
GACGAACGCUGGCGGCGUGCCUAAUACAUGCAAGUAGAACGCUGAAGAGAGGAGCUUACUCUUCUUGGAUGAGUUGCGAACGGGUGAGUAACGCGUAGGUAACCUGCCUUGUAGCGGGGGAUAACUAUUGGAUACGAUAGCUAAUACCGCAUAACAAUGGAUGACACAUGUCAUUUAUUUGAAAGGGGCAAUUGCUCCACUACAAGAUGGACCUGCGUUGUAUUAGCUAGUAGGUGAGGUAAUGGCUCACCUAGGCGACGAUACAUAGCCGACCUGAGAGGGUGAUCGGCCACACUGGGACUGAGACACGGCCCAGACUCCUACGGGAGGCAGCAGUAGGGAAUCUUCGGCAAUGGGGGCAACCCUGACCGAGCAACGCCGCGUGAGUGAAGAAGGUUUUCGGAUCGUAAAGCUCUGUUGUAAGUCAAGAACGGGUGUGAGAGUGGAAAGUUCACACUGUGACGGUAGCUUACCAGAAAGGGACGGCUAACUACGUG